GAUGAACGCUGGCGGCGUGCCUAAUACAUGCAAGUCGAGCGAACAGACGAGGAGUUUGCUCCUCUGACGUUAGCGGCGGACGGGUGAGUAACACGUGGAUAACCUACCUAUAAGACUGGGAUAACUUCGGGAAACCGGAGCUAAUACCGGAUAAUAUAUUGAACCGCAUGGUUCAAUAGUGAAAGACGGUUUUGCUGUCACUUAUAGAUGUAUCCGCGCUGCAUUAGCUAGUUGGUAAGGUAACGGCUUACCAAGGCAACGAUGCGUAGCCGACCUGAGAGGGUGAUCGGCCACACUGGAAGUGAGACACGGUCCAGACGCCUGCGGGAGGCAGCAGUAGGGAAUCUUCCGCAAUGGGCGAAAGCUUGACGGAGCAACGCCGCGUGAGUGAUGGAGGUCUUCGGAUCGUAAAACUCUGUUAUGAGGGAAGAACAAAUGUGUAAGUAACUAUGCACGUCUUGACGGUACCUAAUCAAAAAGCCACGGCUAACUACGUG
rnacentral:rRNA from 1 species